UCUACCCAAUAUGGACAAUCAUCCUAUGAAGUUUGAAUACUGUGGGCCAAAUUGAACUUAAGUUAUGCUAAAAAAACUGUUUUCAAUUUCUAAGUAAUAGUGACCUUGACCUUCGACCUUGUGACCCCAAAAUCAAUAGGGGUCUUCAACCCAAUAUGGACAAUCAUCCUAUGAAGUUUGAACACUGUGGGCCAAAUGGAACUUAAGUUAUGCUCCGGAAACUGUUUUCAGUUUUAAGGUAAUAGUGACCUUGACCUUUGACCUUGUGACCCCAAAAUCAAUAGGGGUCUUCUACCCAAUAUGGACAAUCAUCCUAUGAAGUUUGAACACUGUGGGCCAAAUGGAACUUAAGUUAUGCUCCGGAAACUGUUUUCAUUUUAAGGUCAUAGUGACCUUGACUUUUGACCUUGUGACCCCAAAAUCAAUAGGGGUCUUCUACCCAAUAUGGACAAUCAUCCUAUGAAGUUUGAACACUGUGGGCCAAAUGGAACUUAAGUUAUGCUCCGGAAACUGUUUUCAGUUUUAAG